GAUGAACGCUGGCGGCGUGCCUAAUACAUGCAAGUCGAGCGAACGGACGCGGAGCUUUCUUUUCUGAUGAUUGCGGCGCACGGGUGUGUAACACGUGGAUAACCUCCCUAUCAGACUGGGAUAACUUCGGGAAACCGGAUCUAAUACCGGAGAAUAUUUUGAUCCGUAUGGUGCAAAAGUUAAAGACUGUCUUGCUGUCACUCAUAGAUGUAUCUGCGCUGCAUUAGCUAGUUGGUGAGGUAACGGCUUACCAAGGCAACGAUGCAUAGCCGACCUGAGAGGGUGAUCGGCCACACUGGAACUGAGACACGGCCCAGACUCCUACGGGAGGCAGCAGUAGGGAAUCUUCCGCAAUGGGCGAAAGCCUGACGGAGCAACGCCGCGUGAGUGAUGAAGGUCUUCGGAUCGUAAAGCUCUGUUAUUAGGGAAGAACGUAUGUGUAAGUAACAGUGCACAUCGUGACGGUACCUAAUCAGAAAGCCACGGCUAACUACGUG
rnacentral:rRNA from 1 species